rnacentral:rRNA from 1 species
CAGGCCUAACACAUGCAAGUCGAGCGGAGUGAUGGUGCUUGCACCAUCACUUAGCGGCGAACGGGUGAGUAAUACCUAGGAAUCUGCCCAUUAGCGGGGGACAACGUGUGGAAACGCACGCUAAUACCGCAUACGCCCUACGGGGGAAAGCAGGGGACUCUUUGAGCCUUGCACUAAUGGAUGAGCCUAGGUCAGAUUAGCUAGUUGGUGGGGUAAAGGCCUACCAAGGCGACGAUCUGUAGCGGGUCUGAGAGGAUGAUCCGCCACACUGGAACUGAGACACGGUCCAGACUCCUACGGGAGGCAGCAGUGGGGAAUAUUGGACAAUGGGCGCAAGCCUGAUCCAGCCAUGCCGCGUGUGUGAAGAAGGCCUUUUGGUUGUAAAGCACUUUAAGCGAGGAGGAGGCUACUGGUACUAAUAUUACCAGCUAGUGGACGUUACUCGCAGAAUAAGCACCGGCUAACUCUGUGCCAGCAGCCGCGGUAAU